AUUGAACGCUGGCGGAAUGCUUUACACAUGCAAGUCGAACGGCAGCACGGGAGCUUGCUCCUGGUGGCGAGUGGCGAACGGGUGAGUAAUAUAUCGGAACAUACCUAGUAAUGGGGGAUAACUAUCCGAAAGGAUAGCUAAUUCCGCAUACGCCCUGAGGGGGAAAGCGGGGGAUCGUAAGACCUCGCGUUAUUAGAGCG
rnacentral:rRNA from 1 species